rnacentral:rRNA from 1 species
AAGCACUGCUAUGCCUCCUUGAACACAUCUAAUCCCUUCUGAUUUUAGAAGCUAAGCAGGCUCAGUGCCAGUGAAUACUUGCAUGGGAUGCCACCAAUAAAACCAGGAAUCUUUGGGUA